rnacentral:tRNA from 1 species
GGAUUGUGGCUCAGUGGUAGAGCGCUUACCUAGCACGUGGGAGGCACUGGGUUCGAUUCUCAGCACCA